CCUACGGGAGGCAGCAGUGGGGAAUAUUGCACAAUGGGGGAAACCCUGAUGCAGCGACGCCGCGUGAGUGAAGAAGUAUUUCGGUAUGUAAAGCUCUAUCAGCAGGGAAGAAAAUGACGGUACCUGAUUAAGAAGCCCCGGCUAACUACGUGCCAGCAGCCGCGGUAAUACGUAGGGGGCAAGCGUUAGCCGGAUUUACUGGGUGUAAAGGGAGCGUAGACGGCAGCACAAGUCUGGAGUGAAAUGCCGGGGCUUAACCCCGGAACUGCUUUGGAGACUGUGCAGCUAGAGUGCAGGAGAGGUAAGUGGAAUUCCUAGUGUAGCGGUGGAAUGCGUAGAUAUUAGGAGGAACACCAGUGGCGAAGGCGGCUUACUGGACUGUAACUGACGUUGAGGCUCGAAAGCGUGGGGAGCAAACAGGAUUAGAUACCCCUGUAGUC
rnacentral:rRNA from 1 species